rnacentral:rRNA from 1 species
UACAGAGGUCCCAAGCGUUGUUCGGAUUCACUGGGCGUAAAGGGUGCGUAGGUGGUUGGGUAAGUCUGAUGUGAAAUCUCCGGGCUCAACCCGGAAAUGGCAUUGGAUACUAUCCAGCUCGAGGAUCGGAGGGGGGACUGGAAUUCUUGGUGUAGCAGUGAAAUGCGUAGAUAUCAAGAGGAACACCAGUGGCGAAGGCGAGUCCCUGGACGAUUCCUGACACUGAGGCACGAAAGCGUGGGUAGCAAACAGG